rnacentral:rRNA from 1 species
GAUGAACGCUGGCGGCGUGCCUAAUACAUGCAAGUCGAACGAGGUGCUUGAGUAGCAAUACGAGAGUAUCCUAGUGGCGAACGGGUGAGUAACGCGUUGGUGACCUACCCCAAAGUGUGGGAUAACAUUCCGAAAGGAUUGCUAAUACCGCAUGUGGUCUUCGGGUUUAGAAACCGAUGACGAAAGCAGUAAUGCGCUUUGGGAGGGACCUGCGUCCCAUCAGCUAGUUGGGAGGUAACGGCUCACCAAGGCUACGACGGGUAGGGGACCU